rnacentral:rRNA from 1 species
AUCGAACGCUGGCGGCAGGCCUAACACAUGCAAGUCGAACGAGUGGCGGACGGGUGAGUAAUGUCUGGGAAAUUGCCUGCUGGCGGGGGUUAACUACUGGAAACGGUAGCUAAUAACGCAUACUAUCAGAUGUGCCCAGAUGGGCUUAGCUGGUUGGUGGGGUAACGGCUCACCAAGGCGACGACCCCUAGCUGGUCUGAGAGGAUGACCAGCCACAUUGGGACUGAGAUACGGUCCAGACUCCUACGGGAGGCAGCAGUGGGGAAUAUUGCACAAUGGGCGCAAGCCUGAUGCAGCCAUGCCGCGUGUGUGAAGAAGGCCUUCGGGUUGUAAAGUACUUUCAGCGGGGAGGCGUUACCCGCAGAAGAAGCACCGGCUAACUCCGUGCCAGCAGCCGCGGUAAUAC